CUUCGGAGGGCGAUCUUGGGCGUCGAGUGGCGGACGGGUGAGUAACGCGUGGGAAUCUACCCUUUAGUUGGGGACAACAUAUGGAAACGUAUGCUAAUACCGAAUAUGCUCUACGGAGUAAAGGUGGCCUCUACUUGUAAGCUAUCGCUAAAGGAUGAGCCCGCGUUAGAUUAGCUAGUUGGUGGGGUAAAGGCCUACCAAGGCGACGAUCUAUAGCUGGUUUGAGAGGAUGAUCAGCCACACUGGGACUGAGACACGGCCCAGACUCCUACGGGAGGCAGCAGUGGGGAAUAUUGCACAAUGAGGGAAACCUUGAUGCAGCCAUGCCGCGUGUGUGAAGAAGGCCCGAGGGUUGUAAAGCACUUUCAAUUGUGAGGAAAGGUUAGUCGCUAAUAUCGGCUAGCUGUGACGUUAACUUUAGAAGAAGCACCGGCUAACUCUGUGCCAGCAGCCGCGGUAAUACAGAGGGUGCAAGCGUUAUUCGGAAUUACUGGGCGUAAAGCGCGCGUAGGCGGACUGUUAAGUCGGUUGUGAAAGCCCUGGGCUCAACCUAGGAAUUGCAUCCGAUACUGGCAAUCUAGAGUUUAGGAGAGGGAAGU
rnacentral:rRNA from 1 species